UUGAACCUUGGGCCUGGCUGGCCGGUCCGCCUCACCGCGUGUACUGGUCCGGCCGGGCUUUUCCCUCUGUGGAACCCCAUGCCCUUCACUGGGUGUGGCGGGGAAACAGGUCUUUUACUUUGAAAAAAUUAGAGUGCUCCAGGCAGGCCUACNGCUCGAAUACAUUAGCAUGGAAUAAUGAAAUAGGAACGUGCGGUUCUAUUUUGUUGGUUUCUAGGACCGCCGUAAUGAUUAAUAGGGACAGUCGGGGGCAUCAGUAUUCAAUUGUCAGAGGUGAAAUUCUUGGAUUUAUUGAAGACUAACUACUGCGAAAGCAUUUGCCAAGGAUGUUUUCAUUAAUCAGGAACGAAAGUUAGGGGAUCGAAGACGAUCAGCUACCGUCGUGGUCUUAACCAUAAACUAUGCCGACUAGGGAUCGGACGAUGUUAUUUUUGACUC
rnacentral:rRNA from 1 species